rnacentral:rRNA from 1 species
GACGAACGCUGGCGGCGUGCCUAAUACAUGCAAGUUGAGCGCUGAAGGUUGGUCCUUGUACCAACUGGAUGAGCAGCGAACGGGUGAGUAACGCGUGGGGAAUCUGCCUUUGAGCGGGGGACAACAUUUGGAAACGAAUGCUAAUACCGCAUAAAAACUUUAAACACAAGUUUUAAGUUUGAAAGAUGCAAUUGCAUCACUCAAAGAUGAUCCCGCGUUGUAUUAGCUAGUUGGUGAGGUAAAGGCUCACCAAGGCGAUGAUACAUAGCCGACCUGAGAGGGUGCUCGGCCACAUUGGGACUGGGACACGGCCCAAACUCCUACGGGAGGCAGCAGUAGGGAAUCUUCGGCAAUGGACGAAAGUCUGACCGAGCAACGCCGCGUGAGUGCAGAAGGUUUUCGGAUCGUAAAACUCUGUUGGUAGAGAAGAACGUUGGUGAGAGUGGAAAGCUCAUCAAGUGACGGUAACUACCCAGAAAGGGACGGCUAACUACGUG